rnacentral:rRNA from 1 species
UUAGGAAUAUUGGACAAUGGGGGAAACCCUGAUCCAGCCAUGCCGCGUGAGUGACGAAGGCCUUAGGGUUGUAAAGCUCUUUCGUCUGCGAAGAUAAUGACAGUAACAGAAGAAGAAGCCCCGGCUAAAUUCGUGCCAGCAGCCGCGGUAAUACGAAUGGGGCGAGCGUUGUUCGGAAUCACUGGGCGUAAAGCGUACGCAGGCUGUCAUAAAAGUUAGAAGUGAAAGCCCCGGGCUUAACCCGGGAAUUGCUUUUAAAACUGUAUGACUAGAGUACUGGAGAGGUUGGCGGAAUUCCGAGUGUAGCAGUGAAAUGCGUAGAUAUUCGGAGGAACACCGAUGGCGUAGGCAGCCAACUGGACAGUUACUGACGCUCAUGUACGAAAGCGUGGGGAUCAAA